GGAGUUAGCCGGUGCUUCUUCUGUGAGUGAUGUCCUUCCUGCCGGCUAUUAACCCGCAGGCCUUCUUCCUCACUGAAAGUGCUUUACAACCCGAAGGCCUUCUUCACACACGCGGCAUGGCUGGAUCAGGGUUGCCCCCAUUGUCCAAUAUUCCCCACUGCUGCCUCCCGUAGGAGUCUGGGCCGUGUCUCAGUCCCAGUGUGGCUGAUCAUCCUCUCAGACCAGCUACGGAUCGUCGCCUUGGUGAGCCGUUACCUCACCAACCAGCUAAUCCGACAUAGGCUCAUCCGAUAGCGCGAGGCCCGAAGGUCCCCCGCUUUCCCCCGUAGGGCGUAUGCGGUAUUAGCCCGGGUUUCCCCAGGUUAUCCCCCACUACCGGGCAGAUUCCUAUGCAUUACUCACCCGUCCGCCGCUCGCCACCAGGGAGCAAGCUCCCCGUGCUGCCGCUCGACUUGCAUGUGUUAGGCCUGCCGCCAGCGUUCAAUCUGAGCCAUAAUCAAACUCUGA
rnacentral:rRNA from 1 species